GUGCAAAAGGCAUAGGUAGAACUUAGAAGAGUUAAAGGGUGUGGAGCAACCUUUGAUUAAAGCUCAAAUUCUUUUCUUAACAGUCUCUUUCCCACAUGAAUCAUUAUCCACCUAAAUUUUGAUUUCUUUUGUAUUUUAUAACCUGCAGGCAUUUUUUUUUGGAUAAACUAAAUUUCACGUCUUUUUAUGCUUUUAGUUUAGUUAGGGGCUUCUUCUCUAUAUACCCCUUGCAAGUUACAACCUAGACAAGUUAAAAUCUAAAUACCAGCUGAUCAUCAGUUUCACACACCCAGUAAUUAUCUGGGUAUCAGUUGAUUGAGGCAAUUGACCAAAGAGAGAAAAAGAUGAAUUAUAUUAGUGGGACAUUGAGAAAUAAAAGUGAGAUGAAUAUGGAUAUUAGUUACCAUGAUGGAAAAGUUUGCCAGCUGGGAUGCUAAAAGUUUCAGUUAACAGAUCUCUUUGUCUAUAUGUCUGAAUUGUUUAAUGUUUGAGAAA
rnacentral:misc_RNA from 1 species